AUGGUGCCGCUGGUGUAGGUGUCUCUGCUCAGCAAGCUUAGCCGCUACUCCGCCCUGUUUCUCGGCGUGGCCUACGGAGCCACAAGCUACAGUUACCUAAAACCCCGGGCUGAAGAGGAGAGGAGGAUAGCAGCAGAGGAAAAAAAGAAGCAGGAUGAGCUGAAUCGGAUUGCCAGAGAACUGGCAGAAGAGGACAGCAUGUUAAGGUGAGCAGCCUGUGCCAGCCUGCUUUGCUCCAGAGCAGCAGAGGAUGAAUAAAGCUUCCUGUGUUGUGUGA